GGACUACUCGGGUAUCUAAUCCUGUUUGCUCCCCACGCUUUCGCACAUGAACGUCAGUACUGGUCCAGGAAGCCGCUUUCGCCACUGGUGUUCCUUCCGAUAUCUACGCAUUUCACCGCUACACCGGAAAUUCCGCUUCCCUCUACCGUACUCUAGCCAUGCAGUCUCGAACGCAGUUCCCAGGUUGAGCCCGGGGAUUUCACAUCCGACUUACAAAACCGUCUACGCGCGCUUUACGCCCAGUAAUUCCGAUUAACGCUCGCACCCUCUGUAUUACCGCGGCUGCUGGCAC
rnacentral:rRNA from 1 species